rnacentral:misc_RNA from 1 species
AAAGUCGUAACAAGGUUUCCGUAGGUGAACCUGCGGAAGGAUCAUUACCGAAGUCAAAGCCCUCUCGUAGGGCUCAACUUCCACCCUUUGUUUACCAUUCUAUGUUGCUUUGGCGGGCCGUCUUUCAGGCCACCGGCCCUCGGGCUGGUGAGUGCUCGCCAGAGAAAAUCAAACUCAAACCUUUUUUAGUGUUGUCUGAGAAACAAGUUUAAUUAUUUAAAACUUUCAACAACGGAUCUCUUGGCUCUG